rnacentral:rRNA from 1 species
UAAACUCAGUAAUGAUCCUCUCCCCCCGAUUGAUGGGAGAAUUUCCUCCAGUGUUUCUCCCUCCACCCUCGGUGCACCACCCUAAAAAGAGGUGGUUGUUGGGCAGGAAGUUCUUCCUGCUCCCCGCCCUCCGCCCCCCGGUGGUGUCGCACACCGCCGGAGGAGAGCCAAACUCUGAUUUAAGGAGGUUCCUUCUGAGUGUUCCAGGCACAUAAUCAAAACUUUUAACAACGGAUAUUUUGGUUCUGGCAUGGAUGAAGAACGCAGCGAAAUGCGAUAAGUAAUGUGAAUUGCAGAAUUCAGUGAAUCAUGGAAUCUUUGAACGCACAUUGCGCCCGCCAGCAUUCUGGCGGGCAUGCCUGUUCGAGCGUCAUUUCAACCCUCAAGCUCUGCUUGGUGUUGGGGCCCUACAGCUGAUGUAGGCCCUCAAAGGUAGUGGCGGACCCUCCCGGAGCCUCCUUUGCGUAGUAACUUUACGUCUCGCACUGGGAUCCGGACGGGACUCUUGCCGUAAAACCCCCAAUUCUCCAAAGGUUGAGCUCGGAUCAGGCAGGAAUGGCCCCUGAAGCUGA